AAAAACACGUUAAAGCAAACAAACAUUUCCCUUUAAAAGGUUCCCGUUGAGUACAACGGAUGUGAGGGGUGCUAAUACCUUCCCCUCGCAUAACCAACUCCCGAACCCAUUUCUCUACCCCUCAAGGUUUUCUCGAUAUUUUCCUUUCCCUUCUUUGGGAUAAAUAAAAUUCGGUGGCGACUCUGUUUCUUUUCGAGUGUUCACACUCGAGGAUAUUUUUCGCGCCGCGACAGCUGGCGACUCCGCUGGGGACACUAAACCUUUUGAGAGUUAAGCCUAAUUUAGUG
rnacentral:lncRNA from 1 species